rnacentral:siRNA from 1 species
GGGCCCAUAACCCACAGG